GGAGGGUGCAAGCGUUAAUCGGAAUUACUGGGCGUAAAGCGCACGCAGGCGGUCUGUCAAGUCGGAUGUGAAAUCCCCGGGCUCAACCUGGGAACUGCAUUUGUGACUGCAAGGCUAGAGUACGGCAGAGGGGGAUGGAAUUCCNAAAANAACANUGAAAUGCGUAGAUAUGCGGAGGAACACCGAUGGCGAAGGCAAUCCCCUGGGCCUGUACUGACGCUCAUGCACGAAAGCGUGGGGAGCAAACAGGAUUAGAUACCCUGGUAGUCCACGCCCUAAACGAUGUCAACUGGUUGUUGGACGGCUUGCUGUUCAGUAACGAAGCUAACGCGUGAAGUUGACCGCCUGGGGAGU
rnacentral:rRNA from 1 species